rnacentral:rRNA from 1 species
UACGGGGGGGGCAAGCGUUGUUCGGAAUUAUUGGGCGUAAAGCGCGUGUAGGCGGCUUGGCAAGUCGGGUGUGAAAGCCCUCAGCUCAACUGAGGAAGUGCGCCCGAAACUGCUUUGCUUGAGUGCUGGAGAGGGUCGCGGAAUUCCCCAAGUAGAGGUGAAAUUCGUAGAUAUGGGGAGGAACACCGGUGGCGAAGGCGGCGACCUGGACAGUAACUGACGCUGAGACGCGAAAGCGUGGGUAGCAAACAGG